rnacentral:tRNA from 1 species
UAGAAGUUAGUAUAAGGGAAGUAUUGAAAGUUUUGGGCUUUCAGGUCUGAGUUCGAGUCUUGGAUUUCUAG